CCUGGUGGCCCAGACGGUAAUGGGUCUGCCUCUAAUGCAGGAGACCUGGGUUCAAUCCCUGGGUCAGGA
rnacentral:tRNA from 1 species